rnacentral:rRNA from 1 species
CUCAGAACGACAACUGGCGGCAGCCCUAACACAUGCAAGUCGAACGGRUCMUUCGCGAUUAGUGGCAGACGGGUGAGUARCGCGUGGGAAGCUWACUUGUGGUAGGGAACARCAGUWGGAAASGRCUGCUAAUACCCUAUGAGCCCUAUGGGGGAAAGAUUUAUCGCCAUGAGAUGUGCCCGCGUUAGAUUAGCUAGUUGGUAAGGUAAUGGCUUACCAAGGCGACGAUCUAUAGCUGGUCUGAGAGGAUGAUCAGCCACACUGGGACUGAGACACGGCCCAGACUCCUACGGGAGGCAGCAGUGGGGAAUAUUGGACAAUGGGGGCAACCCUGAUCCAGCCAUGCCGCGUGAGUGAUGACGGCCUUAGGGUUGUAAAGCUCUUUCAGCAGUGAAGAUAAUGACAUUAACUGCAGAAGAAGCCCCGGCUAACUUCGUGCCAGCAGCCGCGGUAAUACGAAGGGGGCUAGCGUUGUUCGGAAUCACUGGGCGUAAAGCGUACGUAGGCGGACUGAUCAGUCAGGGGUGAAAUCCCGGGGCUCAACCCCGGAACUGCCUUUGAUACUGUCAGUCUUGAGAUCGAGAGAGGUGAGUGGAACUCCGAGUGUAGAGGUGAAAUUCGUAGAUAUUCGGAAGAACACCAGUGGCGAAGGCGGCUCCCCUGGCUCGAU